rnacentral:rRNA from 1 species
CGUUCCCGGGCCUUGUACAUACCGCCCGUCACACCACGAAAGUUGGUAACACCCGAAGCCGGUGGCCUAACCGCAAGGAGGGAGCCGUCGAAGGUGGGAUCAGCGAUUGGGGUG